rnacentral:rRNA from 1 species
UUGACCUCGGAUCAUGUAAGGAUACCCGCUGAACUUAAGCAUAUCAAUAAGCGGAGGA